UUUUCACGCUUGAAUUGUUCUUCAGCCAAUUGCCUGCCCUUGAAGUGUAUCUGGCAAUGUAUCUACGUUAGUAUUGAAUGGACAACUUGUAAGCGUAUAUUGACAACUUUCGUUCGAAAGAUCUGGAAACUAUCGUAUAAAUUCGUCAGUCAAACUGUUAAGAUAUUUAAUUACUAUAUUAUUUAAUCCAGCAAGACAAAAGGGUUCUUCUUCAUCAAAGAGAAGUUCGUUCAGUCGACGGAAAGGCCAAAAAAUAGGAACCUCUUUGUUUAUUCGGGGUUUCCACAGCUAUAUAUUUUCUAGAAAUCAGUUAAUAGAAUCGUUGGCGGCUAUGACGUUCGUAUUACGCUCUUGUAAUUUGAGAUUUAGGUUAUUAAUAGUCUCAAAAAAAUCCGCAAGGUACGAAAAGUAGAAUGUGAAAUUUUCAUCAGUAAAAUUCUCACGAAGAUCGUUUUUACCUAAUUAUAAAAGCAUAAUUUCCACUUAAAAUUUCAAUUCGUACAAACGUUCAAACGUAUUCCAUUUGGAUAACCUCUGUAUAGAAUAAUAAAACAGAAUGUUCAGCGGAUAUCUCUGAACAAAGAAUCUUAAAAAUACGCAAAUUAAGUACACUGCUUUUGAUGGUGUUAACAACUUUUAUAUAUACUUCAAGUAAAUUUUUAAGUUCAGGUGGCAGCGUUUUUGCAGCUAAAGUUUAUAUAUGUAUUACGCAAUGAAAAUCAAUUAUUGACGGGUUUUUUUCUUUUGCAAGGUCAAUCGUGACCCUAGUAUUGCAGGGGCACUGUCUGUACAUAGAAAUACAUUUUUCCAAGAGAGACUAUUCUGAUCAAAAAAUAUGUUAAUGGCAGAAAGAACGUCACAGCCUUUUGAGGUCAAAUUAAAAUCCUGGGAAAAUAGAAGUUCUUCUGCAACUGUUCAUUUAUAAAACGACAGUAAACUAGUAGAUGGCAACAUGGGCCAUAUCAGUUGAUUCAUCACACUGAAUUGCAAAGAACACGGAAUUUUGUAAUUUAAGAAUUAACUGAUUUUUUUAUAUCCAAUGCUAAUUCAUCUAUGCGUCGUUUAAUUUUACUAUCCGAUAGAUAUUUGAACUAUUUACCUUUUACUUUCUUCACCAAGUACUAUAUCUACAGCUUUAAGUAUGCUGGAUUUAAUUAAUUUUUCACCCAAAGUAUGUAGUUUCUUUUGCUGAGUCACCAUGAACGCAAUGCGGUAUGAAGCUUCAAUAAUUUUUUCAUUGUUCGGUUGAAAUUUUCUAGUACUGUCAAGUUUCAUUUUACUUAACAAUUUUUUUCUAGCUACAAAAAACUCUUUAGGUUUUCUUUUGUUUCUAAAUGUUUCUAUUUUUUUUACCUGAAAUCCUAAUCUACUGUACAUAAAGAAUUACCAUUUGAAAACCGAUGCAUGUAAAGGCCAUUUUAUCACAAUUUAAAUAUACACAUUUCAAAUUAUUUUUAUGAGACAUAAUUCAUAAAGCUGAUAUAUUUUUAUACAAAAUUAUGUAUUUAAAUAACAGUGAAAUGAAAAUGGUGACCAAUUAAACAAAUAAACCUUCCCAAAAUACUAGAUACAUUAAUUAACAACUGGGGCUUGAAAUGUUGAAUUCAAAACAAAAUUCAAAACGACUCAGCUAAAACAUCUAUUAUUAAUUCAUAAUAAAUUCAUCCAGAAAUGUCUAUAAUAGGUUACAACAUAGGUUCCCAAAUUUUUUAAUGGUACGACCCAUUUUGAAAAUAAUUUAAAUUUUGGUGACCCACAAUAAUAUCAAACACCCUUUUUUUUGGUUUAUUUUUCAUUUCUGGAUGACUCGUGAAGUUUGGUCAGUCGCAUACUCUCAUUUGCAAGUAUAAAUACAAUUUACUGGUAGAAAAGUUGUUCACAGGUAAAAAAUUCUAUAAUAUUUUAUUUUUAAACUAAUACAUACAUUUUGUUCAUUUUUUUUGAAAAAUCAAAAAACAUCUUUUCUUAAGUACCUCCACUGUCCAAUUUCCUUUCAGAAAGUGCAUGUAAAUAGAUUUCUGAUAGAAAAGUUGAUCAAGGAUAAAAAAAAAAUAAACAUCGUACAACCAAUACAUUCCUCGCUCUACUCAAAAUCUCAAAAAUGUAUUAUUUAAAAAUAUAACGCAACCCACUAAAAAUAUGAUCACGACCCACAUUUUGUGAACCUCUGAGUUACGAUGUACAAAACAAUGCAAAUGUUAUAAAUAUGUUAUGAAUUUUAUUAUAAUACAUUUUUUUUCUUAAAAUGUGGAAUACAAAAUUCAAAAUUUGUAAAUAUCGAAAAAAUGUAUUAAUAUUGAAAAUUAAAAAAAAAUAUAUUUUAGAAUUAUAAAUGUUAAAUAAAAAUAAAAGAAAUUAUUUAGGUAUAUAAAACUGAUUAUUUUUCCAGAACAAAGUAAUGAAAAACAACAUAUUGUUGAAGAUUUGCAAACAAAAAAUGGCAACAAAUUGGUCGAAGAAUACUCUUAUAUUGACUAUAAGAACGUUCCAUGUCAACAGAUGUGAUAGGAUUGUAAUUCAUAUUUAUGUAUCAGAAAUAGUGAAUUCAAAGUCCAGAGAACCUUGUUGAUAUUUUUUUUGUUUUAAAAUAUCUGAUGAUUUUAAUAGUUUGAAAUGAAAUCCAGAAUUUAUUUCAAUUAUAUAAACAAAUUUCUGUUUGACCAUUUCUCCUAUGUGUCCUGAGUGUUUUUUAAAUUGUCAGUUUAUUUAGAAAACGUAGAAUAUUUUGGUCGUUAUCAAAAAUUACUGAUUUUGUCACUUUAUACAAAGCAGAUAAUGUUUGUUGUCGUCGAAAAUCAAUGACAAAAUUAAAAAUUACUAAAAUAUGUACUUAUUUAUCAAAUAUGUGAAAAUAUAUAUUUAUACUCAAAUAUGUAAAACUAAUUUGGGCUUAUUUCAAUUAUUAUGUUACACAUCAUAGAUUUUUUAUCAGACUAGUUUAUCUCAUUCCAAUAAAAUUUGUUCCUUAGUUAUAAAUAACCAAUACACCUAAAGUACAUAUUUUCUAGUUUACAUGACUAUGACUUUAGCUAUCUAUGAGCUACUAAUUAAUACACGCUUAAUCAAUGAUAAAAUAUUAAAAAAAUAAUCAAAACUUUUUCCUAGUCAAAUAUUACUAGAAUAAAGGUUAACAGGUCAUUUGGGGUCAUGUUAGAAAACUUAUUUUUAUUUUUUCUAAAAUAGAUCUCCAAAUUAAUAAAUCCUAAAUGAAUAAAGUUGUAAUCAGUUUUUAUAAAAUAAAUUCAAAUUAUAUGUUAAACAAACAAACAUAGAUAAUUUAAAAAAAAAGGAAACUAUCUUUGAGUAUCAAAUGGAAUAGUUACAUCACUGUUUCUGUCCACAUAGUUUAUAUAGUUAUAAGAGUAAUAUACAUAGUAAGCACCUAGGGUUGCCACCAAACCAGAUCUUAAACUGAACAUCCCAUACCACUUAUACAAAGUAACUCUCUCAAAUUCUAUACACUACUCAUUUACAGUUUUAUAUAUAUA